GGGAGAGUGAUAAUUCAGACCGUGUUCCUGUGCCCAGUUUUCAAAAUUCCUUCAGCCAAGCUAUUGAAGCAGCCUUCAUGAAACUGGACACACCAGCUACUUCAGAUCCCCUCUCUGAAGAGAAAGGAGGAAAGAAAAGAAAAAAACAGAAACAGAAGCUCCUGUUCAGCACCUCAGUCGUCCACACCAAGUGACACUACUGGCCCAGGCUACCUUCUCCAUCUGGUUUUUGUUUUUGUUUUUUUUUCCCCCAUGCUUUUGUUUGGCUGCUGUAAUUUUUAAGUAUUUGAGUUUGAACAGAUUAGCUCUGGGGGGAGGGGGUUUCCACAAUGUGAGGGGGAACCAAGAAAAUUUUAAAUACAGUGUAUUUUCCAGCUUCCUGUCUUUACACCAAAAUAAAGUAUUGACACAAGAGAUCUCUUCCUGCCAAGGUUUUUAGUUCAUUGCCAGUUUAGUCUUUUUGACCCAUGUGUAAUUAAUUUUUCUCAACCCAAAGUAAGAUUGAGUCCCCUUUGAGAUGCAUUAGAGCAGUCCAACCCAGAAUGGCACACACUGCUCUGCUGUAGCAUCAUGUCAGGGCUUCCUGGACUCAGUACACCUCUCAGUUUGUCUUUUAAAAAACAGCUGAAUCUUUACUACCUAUUUAGUUCUCCUUGUUAAAGAAACAGGGGUGGGAAUAAAAUGGAUUUAGGACACC
rnacentral:lncRNA from 1 species